CUGGACCGAAAAUCUAACCUGGGACCCCUGCAUCACUAGUCAGAUCUUAUGGACAUACAUGAUCCUUGGCUAUAUAAUCAAGUGUCAUAUGCAGUGUUACAAAAGAAUAUUGGAAUUAUGUCAAUAAGAAAAAGAACUACCAGAAGGAUACAGUAAAGAGAAACAGACAUAUCCCACC